GACGAACGCUGGCGGCGUGCUUAACACAUGCAAGUCGAACGGAAAGGCCCUGCUUUUGUGGGGUGCUCGAGUGGCGAACGGGUGAGUAACACGUGAGUAACCUGCCCUUGACUUUGGGAUAACUUCAGGAAACUGGGGCUAAUACCGGAUAGGAGCUCCUGCUGCAUGGUGGGGGUUGGAAAGUUUCGGCGGUUGGGGAUGGACUCGCGGCUUAUCAGCUUGUUGGUGGGGUAGUGGCUUACCAAGGCUUUGACGGGUAGCCGGCCUGAGAGGGUGACCGGCGACAUGGGGACUGAGAGACGGAGCAGAAGCGAACGGGAGGCAGCAGUGGGGAAUAUGGCAGAAUGAGGGGAAGCGUGAGACAGCGGCGCCGGGUGCGGGAUGACGGGCUUCGGGUUGUAAACCGCUUUGGAAUGUGACGAGGCGGGAGUGACGGUAAUGGGUAAAGAAGCAACGGCUAACUACGUG
rnacentral:rRNA from 1 species